rnacentral:lncRNA from 1 species
UCUAGAAUAAGUUGUAAAAUUUACACCUAUAUAGAGAUGUGUAUAUAGUAUUUUCAUUAAGUGUGGCACUUCAAUCGUCCAACAGCGGAUAAGAUAAGACAAGUGUGAGAGGCUUUUAUGUGAUGAGCAUAUUGAUCUAAUAAUUUGACUUAAGUAUUUUGGGACGUUGGUUUGGACUCAAUGAGUGAAUAAUACUAGCAGGUCCUUAUAAUUGAAUUGGGUCACUAGCCCUAAAUAUAAAGUGGGCCUCACAUCGCUGGAUAAAUCUGGACUAUGUGUGUGACUUAACUGGGUCGACAAGAAUGUAUCUGAGUGUGAGUGGCUUAUAUAUUAAGAACACACUAGAACUAAUAAUUGGACUUAACUAGGUUGACAAGAAUAUUGCUUGAGAAUAUUCAAUAUAAACUGAGUUUUUCUGAGGGAGUGAAGAUCACAAGUAUAUAUAGGCCACUCGCCGUCUAAGAGAAUAAAUAGAAAUGUGUCAAAUGGUGAAGUUUUUUUUUGAGAGAGAAAGAUAGCAUACUACCCGCUUCGUUUAUUUCUUUUUAAAAAUAAAUUUAGCUGAAAAUGUAAAGUAACUAGACUUUGAAGUUGAUACCUCAGGUACUAAUUAUCAAGCCUUUUACCACUUGUGCUAAAAACGGUCGGUAAUGGUGUAAAGUUAUAAGGCAAAACAAAAAGCUAUAAGCUCUCAAGAAACUCUAUUUAUUAUCUCUCUUAUAAACCAUAA